AAAUGCGGCCACACCACCUUGAAUAAGCCUGAUCUCGUCUGAUCUAUGACGCUAAGCAAUGUUGGGUAUGGUUAGUACUUGGAUGGGAGACCACCUGGGAAUAUCAAGUGCUGUAGGCAUU
rnacentral:rRNA from 1 species